GUCGGCGCAAGCCGACUAUGGUGAUAAACGGACGGUGUAAUAAACCCAUUGGACCCGGGGGCGGUACCCGGCGCCUCCACCACAGCACAGCUUGCCGAUCAGGCUGUGUUGUGGUGGGGGCGAAACAGGAUCGACAAGGGUGUAAAGAUCGCUCUUUUACUCGGCAUGAUACCACCGUUA
rnacentral:tmRNA from 1 species